rfam:Salmo salar isolate Sally breed double haploid chromosome ssa23, whole genome shotgun sequence.
UGCAUUCACUACUGUAAGUCGCUCUGGAUAAGAACAUUUGCUAAAUGACUAAAA